rnacentral:sRNA from 1 species
UGCAAAUUACUUGCAAAAAAUUUUCCAGUUUAGAGAAUUAUUUGAAAGGAAAUUCCUACAUAGAUAAGUUCUAAGAAACUAAGUUUUUGAGUUUCUUUUGUUAUUUGUGUGUAUGUGUGUGUGUGUGUGUGUGUUGCUAGGAAUUGAACACAAGGCCUCAUGUGUGCGA